GUAUUAAUAAUUUAUUUAAAAUAUCGGUCUUGUAAACCGAAAAAAAGGAAACUUUUAAAACU
rnacentral:tRNA from 3 species